CCCUGUGUAGCUCAACGGCAGAGCGUUCGGCUGUAGACCGAAAGGUUGCUGGUUCAAAAAUCAGAUGUAUAAUCUUAAAAUGCAUUUGUUUUGAAAGUCCGGCCACAGGGA
rnacentral:tRNA from 1 species